rnacentral:rRNA from 1 species
GAUGAACGCUGGCGGCGUGCCUAAUACAUGCGAGUCGAGCGAACGGAUGAGAAGCUUGCUUCUCUGAUGUUAGCGGCGGACGGGCGAGUAACACGUGGAUAACCUACCUAUAAGACUGGGAUAACUUCGGGAAACCGGAGCUAAUACCGGAUAAUAUUUUGAACCGCAUGGUUCAAAAGUGAAAGACGGUCUUGCUGUCACUUAUAGAUGGAUCCGCGCUGCAUUAGCUAGUUGGUAAGGUAACGGCUUACCAAGGCAACGAUGCAUAGCCGACCUGAGAGGGUGAUCGGCCACACUGGAACUGAGACACGGUCCAGACUCCUACGGGAGGCAGCAGUAGGGAAUCUUCCGCAAUGGGCGAAAGCCUGACGGAGCAACACCGCGUGAGUGAUGAAGGUCUUCGGAUCGUAAAACUCUGUUAUUAGGGAAGAACAUAUGUGUAAGUAACUGUGCACAUCUUGACGGUACCUAAUCAGAAAGCCACGGCUAACUACGUG